GUGAAUCAUCGAAUUUUUGAACGCAAAUUGCGCUCUCUGGUAUUCCGGAGAGUAUGCCUGUUUGAGGGUCAUUUUAAAUAAAAAUCGGUGUGGUGUCUGCCUUUCUUGGUGACUCAACGAAGGUGGGUCGUCUUGCCUUCGGUUAAGUGACCUAAAAUUGUACAUGAUUUUUUCUAACGGAUUUAAUUGAUUGUACGUACGAUUGCUAUAGCGAAUACUAGGUUCUGGCAUCCUGAUGAGCCAGGCCUAUAAUUUGUCAUCAAGAUUACCUC
rnacentral:misc_RNA from 1 species